rnacentral:rRNA from 1 species
GACGAACGCUGGCGGCGUGCUUAACACAUGCAAGUCGAACGGAAAGGCCCUGCUUUUGUGGGGUGCUCGAGUGGCGAACGGGUGAGUAACACGUGAGUAACCUGCCCUUGACUUUGGGAUAACUUCAGGAAACUGGGGCUAAUACCGGAUAGGAGCUCCUGCUGCAUGGUGGGGGUUGGAAAGUUUCGGCGGUUGGGGAUGGACUCGCGGCUUAUCAGCUUGUUGGUGGGGUAGUGGCUUACCAAGGCUUUGACGGGUAGCCGGCCUGAGAGGGUGACCGGCCACAUUGGGACUGAGAUACGGCCCAGACUCCUACGGGAGGCAGCAGUGGGGAAUAUUGCACAACGGGCGGAAGCCUGAUGCAGCAACGCCGCGUGCGGGAUGACGGCCUUCGGGUUGUAAACCGCUUUCGCCUGUGACGAAGCGUGAGUGACGGUAAUGGGUAAAGAAGCACCGGCUAACUACGUG